GGCGGGUUGGCCGAGAGGCGAGGCAGCGGCCUGCAAAGCCGUGAACACCGGUUCGAAUCCGGUACCCGCCU
rnacentral:tRNA from 1 species